rnacentral:lncRNA from 1 species
UGUACUUGAAAUAACAAUAAUAAAUAAUAAUUAACAAGGAUAAAUAAUAAUUACUCACCACGACGACUACUACUACUACUAAUGCUACUAAUAUAUUUACUUAUUUAUUUAUACUAUACUUAGGAUCCCAACCAACCCUAUGAAUCAAAGCUUGGAUUUCUUAUGAAGCUUUUGAACUGCAUGGGAAGGGGUUGGACUAGAUGACCCUUGGAGGUCCCACCCAACUUUUGGAUUUCUUAUGAAGCUUUUGAACUACAUGGAAGGGGGUUGGACUAGAUGACCCUUGGGGGUCCCACCCAACUUUUGGAUUUCUUAUGAAGCUUUUGAACUACAUGGAAGGGGGUUGGACUAGAUGACCCUUGGGGGGGUCCCACCCAACUUUUGGAUGUCUUAUGAAGCUUUUGAACUGCAUGGAAGGGGGUUGGACUAGAUGACCCUUGGAGGUCCCACCCAACUUUUGGAUGUCUUAUGAAGCUUUUGAACUACAUAGAAGGGGGUUGGACUAGAUGACCCUUGGAGGGGUCCCACCCAACUUUUGGAUUUCUUAUGAAGCUUUUGUGGCCAACUCAACCCAUACCGGUUCUCUUCCCACUUCAGGGCACUGUGGGAUUUCUUUUAUUAAUCAAGAAGGAUUAAAAAAAACUUGGCCGAAGAGAUAAAGAAAAUAAAGAAAUAGGCCUCCUUCAGUAACUUGCUUCAGCCAAUUGAAGCUUUUCAGCCAAUUCCAACUCGGGACCAACGCCAGUGGAGCAAGAAAGCAGGGAAAUAUAUAUAUAUAUGUGUGUGUAUUGUCAAAUGCUGAUAGUUUCCAGAUUCUGCUCCGAUUCCAACCCACCCACGGAAGACCACCCAAAAAAGGACACCCAAGGGUGGAGUGGCCUCCCUGACAUCUGCACCUGGAAAGACUGAAAUCCGGUCCAGAAAAAGAGAUAAAAAGCAACCCAUCUCAAUGCAAGUUAAUUGCAGCAGGCUCUCCAUGAAUCCAUGGAGAUUGGUUGAUGCAAGAUAAUUUAAAUAUUAUCAUUAUUAAUAUUAUUUCUUUCCAUUAUUUAUAUUACUAGCUGUGCCUGGCCACGCGUUGCUGUGGUGUUGUCUGGUGGUGGUCGUGAGAACUUGUUGAGACUGGAUGGCCAUCUGUCAGGAGUGGUUGGAUUGUGUCCUCCUGCAUGAUAUAAGGAAAUUGAACUGGAUGAUCCUUAGGGGUAUCUGCUAACGUUAGGAUUGUAUUAUAUUAUUGUUAUUAUUAUUAUUAUUAUUUAGAGGCUGGCUGGCCAUCUGUUGGGAGUGUUUGGAUUGUAUUGUCCAAUGGCAGAGUUGGGUUGGACUGGAUGGCCUUUAGGGGUGUCUCCUAACUGUCUGAUGCUAUGAUUCGAUGUGUAUUAUUAUUGUGCAGAUAUUGGAUGGCCAUCUGUCAGGAGUGGCUGGAUUGUGUCCUCCUGCAUGAUAUAAGGAAAUUGAACUGGAUGAUCCUUAGGGGUAUCUGCUAACCUUAGGAUGUAUAUAUAUAUAUAUAUAUAUAUAUAUAUAUAUAUCAGAGGCUGGGUGGGCUGAGUGGUGCUAGAGACUAGUGGGCGGAGCUUAGCUUUCUAACUGGUAGC